rnacentral:lncRNA from 1 species
CGUGGCUGUAGAGGCAGUCUCGUAGGAAGGAAAGAAAUUUGAGAGAGCGAUGCAAAAAAUAAGGAAGAAAAGCAGGGUUGAGUGACAAAACAGAUGCUUUGGAUCAUUUCGGCUGGGCGUGAUCACAUUUUUUGGUGCUCCCUGGUAUUUUAAGCAUGCUCUAGAGAGACGCUGUUGGUUUGAUAGUUUACAUGUUACAGCUCUGUAUCUCUGACCGGUGAGUAUAAAAAUAUUAAUUAGGCUCCUUGGGGUGUGUUUGUGGUCAGUUUGCCUUUCAGAGGGAAGGACUGCCGGGGCUGUACCUCACCCUCAUCCAGAAAAUUUGCCUCUGUUUAAAAGGCAUCAUUUUUCCCCAGUUUGGCUCUAGGCGGGAGAGCAGAGAGGCUGCAGGUGACUGGGAGAGUCAAAAAAGCUCACCUUUUGAAAUUUUCAUCUGCGCCCAAAUGCAGUUUGAAAGCAUCCAAUUGCCACACUCUCCAGCAACAGAUUUCUGCGAAGGCUUUGUUAUUUUCUCCUCUUGAGUUAUGGUUCAAAAAAUCUGCCUUAACAACAUAAUCUGCUUGGGAAUAUAUGUAAUAAAAUACCAAUGUGGCUGUUAAGGUGAUAUGAAGGUUACUGUUCUAAUCACUCGAAAUGCAGUCGGGAGCAAAGUUACGAAUCUCACAGUAAUCUGGCCACGUUACAUCCCCCGUACAUCUUGCGAAACGCCCUUAACAUAAAGAGCGAUGCAUUCAGGCACAUAAAUUUAAAGGCAGACUAAUAGAAAAUACUAUUUGCGAGCUUAAGCGCGGCAUAUUGAGCGCCUGCGUCAGAUCGUCCUGUAGCCUUUGUAAACCCACCUGCACGUUACGGUUUUUCUGCCGGAGGAGAGGAGGCUCUCCCCGGGGUUGUGGUGCCGGUUGUGCCGCUCCGGCUGGCUCCCGGCAGCGAUGGAGAUCCCCCUCCCCGCCUGGCCGAGAGACUUUCCGUGCUGCAAGGAAACGCCGCGCAGGGCCGAGAUGAUAAAAACUUUGCGGCUGCCCCGCGGGCCAAGUAUGCUCAGAGGAUCGCGAGGCACACCCCUGCCACGGCACUGGCACAGGAGGUGUUACCGUGGAAAUCUCAGCGGUGGAAGUAUUGGGAUCUCCCUGCUGUCAUUUUUAUGCUGGAUCAGUCAGAGCAAAUGCUGUUAUAAAACCGCCUGCGAGCGCCCUGCAGAAAUAUCAACUCCAUCCUCGCAUUAGCAGCUGUGGGACUGAGUGCAGUGCUGUUUUCCACCAUUGGCAAGGCCAGAGAAAGGAGGAAGACAACAGGAAGGGGUGAGGAGUGUUUUGGGUUGGUUUUUUUUUUCUCCACCAAAUGCAGUUUUAUUCCUGUGUUAAAAAUUUAUGGAGCCC